CGAGUUGUAAUUUGCAGAGGAUGCUUUGGAUUUUGCUCUGUCUCAAGUCCUUUGGAACAAGGCGUCAUGGAGAGUGAAAAUCUCGUACAUUCGGUAGCACUAUCCGUGUAAAGCUCCUUCGAAGAGUCGAGUUGUUUGGGAAUGCAGCUCUAAAUGGGAGGUAAAUUUCUUCCAAAGCUAAAUAUCAGCUAGAGACCGAUAGCGCACAAGUAGAGUGAUCGAAAGAUGAAAAGCACUUUGAAAAGAGAGUUAAAAAGCACGUGAAAUUGUUGAAAGGGAAGCUCAUGCAGCCAGACAUGGUGUAAAGGUUCAGCCUUUUGGUGUAUUCCUUUGCGCCAGGCCAGCAUCAGUUUGGGCAGUUGGAUAAAAGUUUUGGGAAUGUAGCUCUUCGGAGUGUUAUAGCCCGAUUCAGAAUGCAACUUGUCUAGACUGAGGAAUGCUAACAGGAUGCUGGCGUAAU
rnacentral:rRNA from 1 species